GGGCAGGUAGCGCAGAGGUAGACGCGCCCUCUUGUCAGGAGGGGAUGACGCCGGUUCGAAUCCGGCUCUGCCCC
rnacentral:tRNA from 2 species